AUCAUAGCUAGUCAUAUUCUAGUGUUUUAUUUGCGUUCACUUUAUCAUGAGAUAUCAAUACCAUUUGCUUGGUAUCCCACCAAGUCCACCGCUGCAGUGACUUUGUCAAAAUUAUUUUGGAAUCUUUUGUUGGAGUGUGAAUCGCGUAAUGUACAGAUACAUGCAGUGAUAUGUGAUGGCUGUUCAGCCAACCGCACUUUUUUUAAACUUGUAUGCCUAUCGAAAUUUUCACUGGGCAAUCCUUAUGUGGCACCAAAUCCGUAUGCUACAGGGAGACCGAUUUUUCUUUGUUCAGAUCCCUCUCACUUAUUAAAGUUAGGAUUGUAUCUAUUUUAUGUAUAAUUUAUGAUAACAUAUCUUUGUAUUUCGUUACAAAAAUUUUUGUAUCAAGACCACAAGAAAUUCCCUGCUAUCUUCCAAGCCAGGAGGAGUUCGCUUUGUGUGUAAAAAAGCAAAACCUAUUGUGCAGUCAUAUACAGGAUCUUUAUAAAAAAGAGCAACAGAGUCUGCUUACAGAAGCCCACAUGAAGCCCAAUCUUUACAGUAAAGUGAAAGUCAGCUUAGCCAGAGAUAUCCUCAGUUGGAAGGUUGGAAAGUGUCUUCAUUUAAUUGAUGGUGCGAUUGGAACUGCAAAAUUUGUUUUAUUGUUUGCACACGGUAACAGCUUAACAAACUUUAAGUGAAGUACUACUUAUGUAAAUCUUUCUUUUUGUAGAUGGUUUGAUAUAAUUAAUUGAGGCCAUUACAAUUCUAUCAGGAGUGUUCAGGAUGAACGUUUGGACUGGUUGGAAAAAGAAUUCUUAACAUACUUAAUGAACUGGAUGGUACGUGAUGUGUUAUCACUGUUAUGUAAAUACGAUUUAAUCUAAAUAUAUGAUUUUACGCCAGAAAGAAGUAGACGAAACUAAAGAGAAGAAAAGAAUAUAUUUGCCUUAGCAGGAGGCUUUUGCUUACCCACUGCAACUCAGUGCCCCUUGGAUCAUUCACCCAAGAUGUGAUCGAGGCUUUUUUUGGUAACUUGCGCAAUCAUGGGUCCCGAUCAAAUGACCCAGAUGUGAAUCAAGCUGCAGUUGCAAUACAACAUAUUAUCAUCAGAAAGGUAAUAAAAAAGGUCAAAGGUGGAAACACAACUUUUGGCAAAGUGAAUGCCUGGACAAAUGUUUGUGAAACACCACUAGCCAGGAAGAAAUGGAAGUAGGUUCAUAGUUUGGUUAUGAAUCUCUCAUGUACAGAUUUUUAUGAACUGGUUUGGAGUUAUUUAAUGUAUAUAUAUAUUUUAUUUCAAUUGAACAUUUCAAACAAUUUUAGAAAUAUUUUGAUCUCGGUAAGGGCAUAAUUUCCUAAUGGGUUAAAGUUAAUCAGUGAGAACGGCUGAUGUACAGUUUAUAUGCAAAAGACACAUGUGUCAAAAAAUUAUUUUAUUUUGUUUUUCAGAUCACCUCGUAACCCUUUAGAUUGCUUACUUGAGUUUUGAAAUAUUUUAGCAAAUAGCUUUUUUGCAAAUGUAUAUGAUAAGCAACGAAUAAAUAAAUCCACACAAUAAUAAAAUACAUUCGAAACUUCUUCUUCAUCCACAUCAUCUUCUAACAUAUCACAUAUGUUUAUUUUGAAACUUCCAUAAUAUAGAUCAUUGCAAACCAUUCACAACACUAACAAAAUCUAUCUUGUUAGCUGGUCUAAAGCUUCCUUUUGAACAUUUCAGCAGCUAUGUGCUCGACAACAGCUGUAAAAACUCUUGUCAAGGACAUACAAGGCUGCCACUUUUUUGCUCCAUUAAUAAAAUUAGCUGACCUUGAGGUUGACUUGCAGAUAACUUUUUAAUAAUUGUAUUUCCAUUUGUGAACUUGUUUUUUGCUUUGUACAAAACAUAACCUCCCAAAUACUCUAAUGUGUCCAAUUCCAUAUUGCUUAUCAUAGCAGUCUGACUUAAUUCAUCGCUGCUUUCUUUGUACUGUGUUAUUAUAGUUGUUACGAUAUCUAGCAAUUGUUUUGGAGCUUUGAAUUCCUCUUCUAUAAAUAAACUUUUCGCUUCACAGCACACCUUUGUGUAUUCUCUCAUUAAAAAUGCCUGAUCGUGAAACUUUGAGUAAUGAACAAACCACUCCUGUAUCAAAGAUAAACCCUUGCUGACAGUUAAAUCAGAUAAUGAGACAUAAACUGGUUUAUUCUACGGUUGGAUCUCAUUUGCAAAAGACCAGGUUCGGAUCUAAGUCACUGAACGUUAGUUCAUCAAAAAUUUCUUUGGGAAGAUGCAGCCAGUUAGAUGCAAUUUCGUUUUCCAUUUAAACAAUUUUGUUGUGCAGUAAAUAGGCUAAUCCUGCGCAAAAAUCAAGUUACUACCUGGUGUUACUCGCAGCUUCUUUAAAUAAAGAUUAAAAAUAAUAAAAACAAUAUUUAAUAUAGAUUACCAAAUAGAAAAGUGACAAACCCGCAUAUAUACCGUAUGCGUAUAGACUGCACAUUCAGGUGGGCGACAAGCGUAAAUAGUCAGUCAGGCGUUUUAUCGCGAAAAAUGUUUACACCAGAGCUCAGGAAAAAAGUAAACACUAUUUGAAGGCUAUUGUGUCAGUCAGAG